rnacentral:rRNA from 1 species
CUCCUAAUAUUAUAAUUUUAGGUAGAAUCUGCCCAAUGAAUUUUCAAUGGCCGCAGUAUUUUGACUGUGCUAAGGUAGCAUAAUCAUUUGUCUUUUAAUUAAAGGCUUGUAUGAAGGAUCUGACAUAGAAUCUUCUGUCUUAAUUAUAAAAUUUAAUUUAUCUUUAAAGUUAAAAUUCUUUAUAUCCUAAGGGGACGACAAGACCCUAUAAAACUUUAUUUUUACUAUUUUAUAUUUAUAAGAAAUUAAUAUAUAAAAAAUUAUACUGGGGCGGUAAAAUUUAAAUACAUAUCACUUUUUACCUUAACAAAUUUUAUGAUUUUUACAACCUCAUUCUAAAAAUAAUAACAAGUUACUUUAGGGAUAACAGCAUUAUAUCUUCUUAGAGCUCUUAUCGCCGAAAAUGUUUGUGACCUCGAUGUUGAAUUGAGGUCCCUCUAUAAAGCAGCUUUUAUAUUAGGAAGUCUGUUCGACUUAUAAUCCCUC